CUUUUCACAUUGGAGAUUAAACCUCCGUCAUCUCAGGUUGGUCAUUUACUCAAAUACUCUCUAUAGGAAUUGGAGGAUCAUCUUUGGGGCCUCAAUUUGUUUCUGAGGCACUUGCGUCUGAUAACCCCCCAUUGAAGAUACGAUUUAUUGACAACACCGACCCUGCUGGAAUUGAUCAUCAAAUUGCUCAACUAGGGGAGGAAAUUAAAUCUACUCUUGUAAUUCUAAUCUCUAAGAGUGGUGGUACACCUGAAACCCGGAAUGGUCUACUAGAAGAACAAAAGGCCUUCAGAGAUGCUGGACUGGAUUUUUCAAAACAGCGGCACUACCAUACUGCAAGGGGUCUGGAACGCGGGUAUUUUGGAACGGCAACUUCACCAUCUAUAUGGCCAUACAAGUCCCCACAUAACAAGUCAGUUUCUGGUAGUCCCCAUGAAGAUAUAUACCUGAAGUGUUCCUGAAGGAGUGUUGAAGAAUGAAAAGUGGAGUUUUGGUCAAGUGGAAUAUGAUGGCAGACCAUAGUAUUAUUAAGGAGCUCUUAAGUUGAUGACAGAAAUUCUCUCUGGACACUGCUACAUGUUCCACUAGACGAGUAACUUCUGCUUGACUAUCUUGCAGUUGUCCAAGAUUUUCCUGUUUAGAAGCAUAGUCAUAUCCAGGGGUCAUGCUCGGAUCGUGUUGACUGCAAAGUCAGGCUGCAACAGCAAGACCCUGCCAUGCCAAGUCCUUGGAGGCAUAUGGUUUCGUAGGGUCCAUCAUGCCGCCUAUGCUGUGCUUGCGCACAUCGUGUCCGCAUAUGCUCCGGAGCCGUGACUCCUCCAUCGGCGCCACUGGCUAUCCCAAGUGCCAAAUCAUGCUCAUGGAGGGACCUCUGCAAAAGAGAAAUAGCCAGACACUUAUAGUAGAUGAAGCUCACCAUUCGUAUCAUGAGAAUGUGGGAACACACUAAUACGGAUUCUACUUUGUUAGAUGGUCCAAAUUUCCUUAUGGUUGAUCACAAGGGCAACACAAUGGAAGGAACGAUCCCCACAUAUAGGAUGUGUAUCUAUGAAAAUGAGUUCCAAGAAGGGGUCAUAUAUACGAUUGGAAACUUUUGUGAUACGUACAACCAGGAAAAAAAAUAGAGGGCGGUGGAGCAUCCGUUCUGGAUCAGUUUUGCUCAACAAACAUUAAUAUAACCAGUCGUUCCGCAACCAGAAGAUUCUGUGUGUGGUUACACUGCUUAUCCGCUUUCACAAUUUGAAAAGUGCAUCAGGCAAAAUGUUUUCAUCUUAGGUUGAACAAUCGAGGAGGCCGAGGGAUGACUAUAUUGGGGUCGUGGUGGAUUGGCUGAUGGAUGUGAUUGAUGAGUUCAAACUUCUGGCUGACACACUUUACCUUCUGAUUCAUAUAUUGGCCAAUUCCUCGCAGCGGGACAAGUUGAGUUUCUUGGUGUCGCUUCAUUACUUGUUGCUGUGUAUGGCCUAAACUUUAUUCUAUCUCUUUGUGCGUGUCUCUUUACUGUCCAACUAGCAUGACUGUGGUACUAUAGGAAGUACAAAGAGAUUCAUCUAGGUAAGAUGAACAAAUUCAGUGACACUACUGACGGCACAUACACGAAUCAGCAGAUAGUGAAGAUGGAGGCCGAAUUUAUACAGUGGGUCUGUUCCAGCACCUACUUUUGAUCAUAUGAAACUAAAAAGAUAGAAGGUACUUCCCAUGCAAGAUCUUAUCCUAUGCGAAGUUAUUCUGCGGGUUUUGUUGUAAGACAUUUAUGAGCAGUUUGCCCAUGUUGCAAGAUCUUAGGACCUCUCAUGUUUGGGAUUCCUCCUUUCUACUUUGUUAGAAUACAAUUGCAGGAAUCACAGGUGAUGAGACAGCGCAGCUCUCAUUUCUGGUGAGAGGCGCCAUCGGCAGCAAGUCAGCAUAGGGGAUCAUACACCCAGUGUCCGAUAUCUGGGAGAUCCAGGAAGGAGGCGAGUCUGUCCCACGGCGUCGCUGUCCAGGUACAUUAAGGGAGCUCCAUGUCUUGGUUUGCCGCACGUACGUUUACCACGCAGAGGAGCACAUAUGAUCCUCAUAAUAGCAUGUUUGUAAUGAAUUCUGGAACCAAUCGGAAGAUUAAAAUCAGCAAAGCAUAUUCACCCGUCCAGGUACAUUAAGGGAGCUCUAUGUCUUGGUUUGUCGUACGUACGUUUACCACACAGAGGAGCACAUAUGAUCCUCAUAAUAGCAAGUUUGUAAUGAAUUCUGGAACCAAUCGGGAGGUUAAAGUCAGCAAAGCAUAUCACCUGUAGUCAAAUCACUUUUGGUAUAUAUAAGUGCGAUCAAAGAUCAACCUAGACCCAUCAACAUGCAUAAACUAGAUAAGUGGGCACAUGAACGCUCAGGAGGCGUGGCACGCCCCAACCACUAGUAAAACCCAUUAACAGUCGCGUAAUGGGCGGACCCUCGCAGUAGCCACGUCAUCACCGAUUCCUGACCGUCCGAUCCGUUCAUUUAUACAAUCUCAUCCGUUGGUUUUUUCAGUGGUGGAGGUAUAAAGGCAGCUAGCCCACCCAAAUCCCUCACUCCCCGCGUGCGUCUCCUCUUCCUUCCCUCACGUCGCCGCCGGCCCAUAUCGAAGACAGAGAGAAAGAGCAGGGCACUCACGCAACCCUUCCUCACUGCCGGCUCGUCUCCCCUCCCACCUCAGCGCCGCUGCCUCUGUCUGCUCCGCCUCACUCUCCUCCGUCCCUCAGCGCGCCACGCCAUCUCCACAGGGUCCAGCCUCCACCGAAGCCGAUCUCUCCGCUGAGCACGCCCCGCACCGCCGUUGCUGUCGUGGGCUCCUCGGCACCGCUGCAGACGGGGAGGCGGCCUGUGGGAGGGCCCUAAAUGUGGCCGACGACUCCAUCCCCGCUCGCAUGUGGCGGCGGCCAGCCCAGCUCCGCCUCUUCCGACCCAUCUUCUUGGUAUGCAUCUGGAUGCUUGCCUAAAGAAGGUGUCUGCAUUAUUGAUUCCUUUGGAGGUAAUUUUCUUUCAACGUUCUUGUGUGCUGACAAGUCUUAUUCAUACAUCAGGGCAUCAUUGGUAGUGAAGGAGGACUCUUGCAGGUGCAAAAUAUUAGCAGAGGAAAAUCUAUAUGGUUUGAAGGGUUCAGAUUCAUAAUCUGAUACUAUUAGGACCCUUGAUCCUUCAACCAUUAUGAGAUUUCAAGGCAGAUAGUGCAUCUUGUACUGCUUACCUUGAUUUAAUCAAUGCCUUCUGUAGCUUAAGGUUUAAUUAGCAGACUACUAGUGCUUUGAUAAUCUCCUUUCUGAAUUCCAUACUUGGUACAACAAUGUUCCUCACCCGGUCACCCCAAACUGGUGGAAUAUAAGAAGGAUCAGAACUGGGUCACAAUGUCUGGCGAUUAUCUUGUUUUCUCUGGAGGCAGAACUCAAUUCAAAUAUGGUAUUGCAAGAUAUAUACAGUUUGCAGAACAGGUGCUACGUGACUUCACUGGUCGCGUUAUUGACUGGGAUUUCGAGUACGACAACUUCACAAAAAAUGCUUCGCCGCGGAGCUCGAAGGCUGCUACUAUUACUUCUUGCGCCAUUAUUUGGCAACGUACUGCUGCGGUGUCCAGAGAUGACACCAUUAGUAUGUGUCAGUUGUAUUGGUGACGCUGAGCACAAAACUGUGAAUCUACUCCCUUUUGCUCUAGACUGUGUUUGGUUGUGGCGCCAACUGGCUAUCUCGACAACAUUGACGCUGAAGUUAUCGAGCCUCCGAAGAAUGGGAUGUAGAUGUCGUAGAACUUGUCUGUGAUGUUAUCAAGCAUUCACGGAAUCCAAAUGUCAUAGUUUCUAGAAAUGGGCGUGAGCUAUUGGAAUGCCCCAUGUGUUUGGUUCCCAUGUAUCCUCCAGUUCAUCAGGCCAAGGGUUCAUAAUUGUCGUCCAACUUGCAGCAGUGAAUUGGGUAACAUAAGAUGCCUUGCUUUGGAGAAGGUUGGCGCCUCUCUAGAGGUUCUGUAAAAGUUCCAGAACUUUGGAUGCUUGGGAAUAUAUCCUUAUUAUUGCAAGCUGAAAAAUGAAUCAGAGUGCCAAUACAGACCAUAUACUGGCCCACAUGCAGGUUCUUAAUGCACUGUCGCUGGUGACAUUCCAUAUCAAAUUUCAGAGUGUUCUUUCUGUAGGUUUUAGAUUUUCGUGGAUUUAUGUAAUGGAAUCUUGAUAUGUCAGGAAUGCGUCGAGAAAAUGCAACAUGACUUGAUGUUUGAAGUUACAGCCUUACAGGGGCAUCGACUCAAAUUUGCAACGACGAAUUUUAUACCCCUGCAAACUGUUUAGCUCAGUCUGGUACUUUUCUUUCUCGAACAUAUAAACAGAUUUAGUCCUAUAUCUUGCUCUGUUUAUCAGUGUACUAUUGGCCUGCUUAUCUAAAUAAAAUGGCAGUGCAUAUGACCAUAAUUACGCAGAUUCUUGACAGUUAAAACUAAACCAUGAUUCCAUGUUUAGGGAUGCAAUGAUUCAGUUUGGACAUCCAAUAUCAGUGCGGCGUUGAUGAGCAGUGGCGGGCGAGGCGUGGGAGGUGACGAUGACGAAUGAUAUGGUGAUUAGCAGGUAAAAGAAGCCGUUCAUUUCCAUUGCUCAGCGGGGGCCUCUUCGGGGACUCAUCUAGCAUCAGGCGUUAUUGGAGGAGAGAUGGCUCUCAUGGAUUAGGAUGUUGCACAUCAUUGACGGGUCAUUCCAUGGAUUAGGACGUUGCACAUCAUUGACGGGUCGUUCCGCACACUGCUCUUGUUGUUUGUUCUUGACAUAUCAUGUGUGGUGCUGUACUUUCUGAAUCAGUUGGUGGUUUAUAUUAGCAAGUACUAUCAUUCUGUCACUAUUCUGUCACUUUUGAACCACCGAUAUUGUAUGUGAUCAGUCCUCUAAACUAUAAAACUAUUGCUUUUGUGUUCA